GACGAACGCUGGCGGCGUGCUUAACACAUGCAAGUCGAACGGAAAGGCCCUGCUUUUGUGGGGUGCUCGAGUGGCGAACGGGUGAGUAACACGUGAGUAACCUGCCCUUGACUUUGGGAUAACUUUAGGAAACUGGGGCUAAUACCGGAUAGGAUCUCCUGCUGCAUGGUGGGGGUUGGAAAGUUUCGGCGGUUGGGGAUGGACUCGCGGCUUAUCAGCUUGUUUGUGGGGUAGUGGCUUACCAAGGCUUUGACGGGUAGCCGGCCUGAGAGGGUGACCGGCGUCAUUGGGACUGAGGUACGGCCCAGACUCCUACGGGAGGCAGCAGUGGGGAAUAUGGCACAAUGAGCGGAAGCCUGAUGCAGCAGCGCCGCGUGCGGGAUGACGGCCUUCGGGUUAUAAACCGAUUUCGCCUGUGACGAAGCGUGAGUGACGGUAAUGGGUAAAGAAGCACCGGCUAACUACGUG
rnacentral:rRNA from 1 species